AACGGAUCUACUGUCCUAGGAAAAACUUGUUGGCGUAGUCACGCGGGUGUGAAACAUAAGGGUGUUAUUAUACAGGGUGUUUUCUAAUUGAACUUGAACUUGAAACUUCAUAUGAACACAUCUCCUAAACGUCUUAACUUUUGACAUACAGGGCGAAAUUUUAAUGAAAUUUGGCACAAAUGUACUGCGUAUCAAGAGGCAUCAUUUAGUGUAAAGUCUGUUCAUAGAUAUAAGAACUGAUACGAAUUAAGGAAAGACCCGGGCAAGCUGAAAGAAUGAAAUAUGGCCGAACAGAAUUUGCCGAACUUUGUGGAGGGAUGUUAAAAACUUCGGUUUGUAUAAGUUUGAGGACAUUGGAGUUAAGACGGGGAAAAACAUUGUUACGACGAUGGCAGAUUUCAGUUGGUGCCAGACAUGUUCGAUGGGAUUAAAUAUACAGAGGUUCAAGCUUUGUAGAACCUCAGUUAAUUGCUUUUUGGUAUAAUCUUAGUGAAAAUGAAUGUCGUUAUUAUACAUGUAGUUUUGGAUUGUUGCUUUUGUGUCACAUGAGGAAGGGGUUUUAGUCAACUGUGUACUGUGAUAACUUGCAUUCUCCAUUACAAUUACGCUAUCAGGAGGAAUGCUAUAUCGAGUACUUGUGACAGAGUUUAAAUACAAACUUAUUGCGAAUUCUUUAAAUUCUUUACUACCAAAAGCCAUGUUAUCAGAAACAAUCUCAGAAGUAUGUGUAGAAAAAAUAGAUUUGAGUUCUGAUAUUAUUACUGAGGUGGUUUUACUUUUAAGAGGAAUUAUCUCAAGCCGAUUACUAUGAUAGUCCAUAUUGAAAAAUAAUCUUACCAGCAUAUGUUUCUAAGAAAUGUAACUUUUGGUUAGUUGUAUUAAAGGUUCUUUCUUCGUCUUCUUUUGAUAAUCCUGGCCAAUAAAAUAACCUUCUAGCUCUAACUUUUGAACUUUUCUAUGCCGCAAUGACCCACACGUAAUCAUCUUAAGCCAAUUACUAUGGUAGUCUUAUUGAAAGAUAAUUCUUACCAGCAUAGGUUAAAAUAUCAGCUGCGACUUUCAGAAAUGGAACUGUUGCUCUUUCAUAUUGUAUUAAAGGUUCUUUUACAACACUCUUACUAUACAAGUUAUACAUUUUCAUACAACUGGCGAAUAAAAUAACUUUGUAGUUAUAACCUGAGACUUUUCUAUGUCGAAAUGACCAACACGUAAUUCAGUGAACAUUUUUAAUCUAUGGUUUGAGUUUUGAUAUUAUUUAUGAGGUAGUUUUAAUUUUAAGAAGAAUUCUCUCAAGCCAUAGUAUUGAAAGAUAAUCCUUACCAGUAUAUAUUAAAAUAUCAGCUGCGACUUGAAGAAAUGGAACUUUUGAUUUUUCAUGUUGUAUUAAAGGUUCUUUCUUCUUCUUCUUUCUAUAGUCCUGGUCCAUAAAAUAACCUUCUAGCUCUAGCCUAAGACUUUUCUAUGCCGAAAUGACCCACGCGUAAUUUAGGUAACUUUUUUAAUCUAAGGGCCUUCGGACCUACUAGUCGACAACCAAGAAGCAUUACAUCUCGAUGCACAAAUAAAUUAUCUUUAAAAGCAAUAAAACAGUAACUUGUUAGUAAAGGUACGUUUAAUGGAACAUAUUUUGGGCUUAAGGUACGUAUCAAAUGUUCGACUAGAAUAUUUGGGCAUUCGAAUCA